UCAAGUAGACCUGGUGAAAGGGCGGUUUGGAUUUAAUCAAUUUAUAAUUGUAAAAGGUUUUAGGCUAAUUAAAUUUUAAUUCUCUAUUAAACUUAGAUUAACCCAAACCUGAAUUGGUAGUCCUCACUACUGGUUGAGAAUAAAUUCAUUCAAGUUGUCAAUUCUAGUUGUGUGUUAAAUGCAGAUUAGGGUGAAUGUAUCUUCCCAAUUAUACUAUAUUUAGUAGGUUAAUUAAUACCACAGUUUCAAUGUCUUUAAAGAUUGUAAUUAAUUUUAAAGUAAUGCCAGGGAAGUGAACCAUUUUAAUGUUUCUGAAAAGUUUUCUUCGCAAUUAGCAUUGCCUCACUCAUUUAAGUUGCA
rnacentral:lncRNA from 1 species